GCAAGUCGUACGCUUCUUUUUCCACCGGAGCUUGCUCCACCGGAAAAAGAAGAGUGGCGAACGGGUGAGUAACACGUGGGUAACCUGCCCAUCAGAAGGGGAUAACACUUGGAAACAGGUGCUAAUACCGUAUAACAAUCGAAACCGCAUGGUUUUGAUUUGAAAGGCGCUUUCGGGUGUCGCUGAUGGAUGGACCCGCGGUGCAUUAGCUAGUUGGUGAGGUAACGGCUCACCAAGGCCACGAUGCAUAGCCGACCUGAGAGGGUGAUCGGCCACAUUGGGACUGAGACACGGCCCAAACUCCUACGGGAGGCAGCAGUAGGGAAUCUUCGGCAAUGGACGAAAGUCUGACCGAGCAACGCCGCGUGAGUGAAGAAGGUUUUCGGAUCGUAAAACUCUGUUGUUAGAGAAGAACAAGGAUGAGAGUAACUGUUCAUCCCUUGACGGUAUCUAACCAGAAAGCCACGGCUAACUACGUGCCAGCAGCCGCGGUAAUACGUAGGUGGCAAGCGUUGUCCGGAUUUAUUGGGCGUAAAGCGAGCGCAGGCGGUUUCUUAAGUCUGAUGUGAAAGCCCCCGGCUCAACCGGGGAGGGUCAUUGGAAACUGGGAGACUUGAGUGCAGAAGAGGAGAGUGGAAUUCCAUGUGUAGCGGUGAAAUGCGUAGAUAUAUGGAGGAACACCAGUGGCGAAGGCGGCUCUCUGGUCUGUAACUGACGCUGAGGCUCGAAAGCGUGGGGAGCAAACAGGAUUAGAUACCCUGGUAGUCCACGCCGUAAACGAUGAGUGCUAAGUGUUGGAGGGUUUCCGCCCUUCAGUGCUGCAGCUAACGCAUUAAGCACUCCGCCUGGGGAGUACGACCGCAAGGUUGAAACUCAAAGGAAUUGACGGGGGCCCGCACAAGCGGUGGAGCAUGUGGUUUAAUUCGAAGCAACGCGAAGAACCUUACCAGGUCUUGACAUCCUUUGACCACUCUAGAGAUAGAGCUUCCCCUUCGGGGGCAAAGUGACAGGUGGUGCAUGGUUGUCGUCAGCUCGUGUCGUGAGAUGUUGGGUUAAGUCCCGCAACGAGCGCAACCCUUAUUGUUAGUUGCCAUCAUUCAGUUGGGCACUCUAGCAAGACUGCCGGUGACAAACCGGAGGAAGGUGGGGAUGACGUCAAAUCAUCAUGCCCCUUAUGACCUGGGCUACACACGUGCUACAAUGGGAAGUACAACGAGUCGCGAAGUCGCGAGGCUAAGCUAAUCUCUUAAAGCUUCUCUCAGUUCGGAUUGUAGGCUGCAACUCGCCUACAUGAAGCCGGAAUCGCUAGUAAUCGCGGAUCAGCACGCCGCGGUGAAUACGUUCCCGGGCCUUGUACACACCGCCCGUCACACCACGAGAGUUUUAACACCCGAAGUCGGUGAGGUAACCU
rnacentral:rRNA from 1 species